GGAAGUCACUGAAGGUGCUCCAGAUUGUUUAGUAGGUUUAACUUUUGUAAUUAGUGGAACACUUGAUAGUUUGGAGAGAGAAGAAGCAGAAGAUCUAAUUAAACGACAUGGAGGUCGUGUAACCGGAUCGAUCAACAAGAAGAUGAAUUACCUGUUAUGUGAUGAAGAUAUUGGAGGACGGAAAUCUGCGAAAGCGAAAGAGCUCGAAACAACUUUUAUUACGGAGGAUGGUUUGUUUGAUUUGAUCCGGUCAUCAAUUCGUACAAAAACACCCGUUCAAGAGAAGUCCAAGAGUACAGAGAAAGC